AUUGAACGCUGGCGGCAGGCCUAACACAUGCAAGUCGAGCGGAUGAGAAGAGCUUGCUCUUCGAUUCAGCGGCGGACGGGUGAGUAAUGCCUAGGAAUCUGCCUGGUAGUGGGGGACAACGUUUCGAAAGGAACGCCAAUACCGCAUACGUCCUACGGGAGAAAGCAGGGGACCUUCGGGCCUUGCGCUAUCAGAUGAGCCUAGGUCGGAUUAGCUAGUUGGUGAGGUAAUGGCUCACCAAGGCGACGAUCCGUAACUGGUCUGAGAGGAUGAUCAGUCACACUGGAACUGAGACACGGUCCAGACUCCUACGGGAGGCAGCAGUGGGGAAUAUUGGACAAUGGGCGAAAGCCUGAUCCAGCCAUGCCGCGUGUGUGAAGAAGGUCUUCGGAUUGUAAAGCACUUUAAGUUGGGAGGAAGGGCAGUAAGUUAAUACCUUGCUGUUUUGACGUUACCGACAGAAUAAGCACCGGCUAACUCUGUGCCAGCAGCCGCAGUAACAC
rnacentral:rRNA from 1 species